rnacentral:ncRNA from 1 species
UAUUUAAAAGCGCCUGGACUAACCAAAGAGAGUUGGUUAGUUGACGAGGAGGAGGUUUAUCGAAGGUUUCGGCGGAUACCUCCCGGUUGAACGCACAACCGAAAUUUUUUCCUUAAAACACAAAGGUAACUUUGUGCACAAAGGGGAAGAA